CGCUAAGCCACAGCAAUCUGACUCGUAACGCGGCAUUCGUUUUCCUCGACUGCGCAGAGUUAUCUAGGGUUUUGGCAGGCGGAGGACAGGGUUUCUAUCUCACUGUAUCACCAUGAGAGCCAAGUGGAAGAAGAAGCGUAUGAGGAGAUUGAAGAGGAAGCGCCGAAAGAUGAGGCAGAGAUCAAAGUAGAAGCAGAUCAACAGUGGGGUCAUUUCUCACUCGAGUUCUUUACCAGCUUUAGGAUCUUACUGUCUGCCUUUUCUGAUUUCAUAGCUGUCAUUUACGUCUGCUUGAGGAAACAUCUCGUAAC